AUUUUGGACAAUGGGGGCAACCCUGAUCCAGCCAUCCCGCGUGUGCGAUGAAGGCCUUCGGGUUGUAAAGCACUUUUGGCAGGGAAGAAAAGGCGCGGGCUAAUACCCGGCCCCGCUGACGGUACCUGCAGAAUAAGCACGUGCUAACUCACGUCACGCAGCCGCGGGAAUAGGUAGGGUGCAAGCGUUAAUCGGAAUUAUGGGGCGUAAAGCGUGCGCAGGCGGUUCGGCAAGAAGGAUGUGAAAUCCCGGGGCUUAACCUCGGAACUGCAUUCUUAACUGCCGGGCUAGAGUAUGUCAGAGGGGGGUAGAAUUCCACGUGUAGCAGUGAAAUGCGUAGAGAUGUGGAGGAAUACCGAUGGCGAAGGCAGCCCCCUGGGAUGAUACUGACGCUCAUGCACGAAAGCGUGGGGAGCAAACA
rnacentral:rRNA from 1 species